UACGUAGGGUGCGAGCGUUGUCCGGAAUUACUGGGCGUAAAGGGCGCGCAGGCGGUUAUGUUAGUCUGCUGUGAAAAGCAUCGGCUUAACCGGUGUCUUGCGGCGGAUACUGCAUAGCUUGAGUACUGGAGAGGGAAGUGGAAUUCCCGGUGUAGCGGUGAAAUGCGUAGAUAUUGGGAAGAACACCGGUGGCGAAGGCGACUUGCUGGGCAGCAACUGACGCUGAGGCGCGAAAGCCAGGGGAGCGAACAGGAUUAGAUA
rnacentral:rRNA from 1 species